GGGAAAGUUGAAAAGAACUUUGAAGAGAGAGUUAAAAAGUACGUGAAACCUCUCGGGGGUAAGCGGGCAGAACUUGCAAGUAUUGACGGUAACAUUCAGGCUUGUUGUUGGCGGCUGAGGGCGUAAAUUAUGUUGUCUCUUCGGAGGCUGGCUGAUGUGCGCUUUUUGUUCUGUUGACGACACGCCGCAUUUGUUGCUGUCUUCGGGUUGCAUGCGACUGAGGUUGGUAGUUUAGGUGCUGGGACCCUGCAAAUCCUUGUGGUUUGAGCCCUGGUUUCCAACUACUCGUGCGGUCGUUGAAAGCGAGCAGGCGUUUAUCGCGGUCACUGACUUUGACGAGUUGGGUGCAUGUGAUGUGUGGACGGGUAACCGUAGCAUGUUGUAUGUACUUGCUGUCAGUCAGAGUUGUGUGGCACUGUUCAGUAUUG
rnacentral:rRNA from 1 species